GGGGCUAUAGCUCAGCUGGGAGAGCGCUUGCAUGGCAUGCAAGAGGUCAGCGGUUCGAUCACUCGUAGCUCCACCA
rnacentral:tRNA from 1 species